AUGCACAUGUUCUUCUCUUGGUCAGGUUUAAUUUUCUCUUUAAAUUUUGUGCAAUGGCUAUUUGUUGAUGAGACUCAGAGAGAAGCCGAGGAGUCUUGGAGUAAAAGUGUCAAUUUUUAAUAGCUGCAUGAGCUGUGUAGAAGUCAGUUUCCAUGAAAAUAUAAAGAUAAUGGUGUGAAAAAGAUAUAAACAUUUCUGUGACUGAAUGAAAAUAUAUGAAAUAAAGAGGAACAGAGAACCUUAUGUGGCUUCUGCAUGGCCCAGGUUCAGGGUUCAAACACAGGAAGAAGAAGAUAAUAUGACUUCCAAAAUAGGAUGUGACUGCCAACGGAAAUAUGUCAUGCUGGAGUCCCACAGCAGCUUGCGACACUCUGGUAGGCCCACCCCUUUGGCCCAGCAUGCCAGAGGAGCCCAGCCAGUGGACAUCAACACAGUGGUGUUUGUGUUCACCUCCCACCCCAUGAACAAGAGAAAGAUGGCCUCAGGCUCCUAGAUGAAAAUUGAAGCCCACUGGAAAAGCAAAGAAAAUCUGCAAUAAAGGCACACCAAACCACCAUAGUUGGUAAGUCAGAGGAACCAGUACCUCACAUUGGAACCUGGUCUAAUUUCAGGGGAAAAACAGCUGGAAUCUGCAAUAGAAUCUUGAAGAGUUCAACCCAGCAGGAGGUUAGAGAGGUCAACUUGGGCCUUGCAGCCAAAAAUCAGCCUGAAACUCAGGGGACAGCUGCUGGCUUGCUGAGACUAAUUAACUUAGACCUGCACACUCCUGCCCACGCUGUCUAUUAUGUCAACAGAGGCAUACCCUGAAGGAAGCCCUCUAUUUGUAUAUUUUAUUUUCAAAGUGAUAUUUACAUCUUAGCAUUAAUCAUUUAAAAAAUUAUCUAUCCUUUUCUCAACUUUUCCUUUUUUAUCUUCUUUUUCUUCUUUUCUUUCUCACUCUC
rnacentral:lncRNA from 1 species